ACGAGCGAGCGAGCGAGCGAAGCCUCCAGGUCCCUUCGCUGUUGCCCUCGCACAUCAAGCCGCCGCCCUCGCCCUCGCCCUUGCAGCCGCCGCCGAUCCCCUCCCCCAUCUUCCUCCCUCAAACGCUAACCCGUCUCGCGGUGCGCCAUCGCCCGUCGCAGCCGCCCCCGCCACCUCCCGCCGCGGCCGCCACCCCAGCUCCAGCCGUGGCCGUCGCGCCCAGAUCCAGCGGCGGCUGCCGCCCCACCUCCAGCCACGACCGCCCCACCUCCAGUGGCGGCCGCCACCCCCACGUCCCACCGCGGCCGCUGCCCGCGCCAACGACCCCUUCCCCUGCCGCCGCGCCACGGGUCCACUUCGUCAUGAGCUCUAGCGCCGACCAUCCCGCCGCUGCUUGUGGUCCCCUCUUCCAUCAGCUCCACUUCACCGGAACCGAAAAUCAGCCAAGAAACACAACAAACAUAUUAGCCGCAGCUAGCUGCUAUGUGCACAUGUGCAAAAACAAACAUAUUAAUCCUUUGCCGCAGACAAUACUGAAGCACUAACACAAACAAGAUCCUUCUGAAGAUAGUCUCUGAAUGCAAAUGAUCAUGACUUAUGAAUUUGGAGCCAUGGCCCAUGUGUAGGCAAGGGCAAUGAUCCCUUUUACUACUUGAGCGGUCCAACAGAGAUUAUUGAAGGUUGUUUCUGAAGUUGUGAUUGACUGGAACCAAAGGAAAGUUGGAGACUUUUUUGGUGUGAAUUGCUUGGAUUAAGUGGGAGUGAAGAUGUUCUUUCUGUCUAUAUCUGGUUCUAUUAUUGGCAAAUUUGUGCCUUCGAGAUUGCUGCGAGUGUUUGUGUUCCCGAGCUGAAAAUUUAGAUUAUUACCAUGUUUGGUCUCCUGAAUAUAAAUCAUGAUUCUUUGCAUCUCAAUUGCAGACCAGCAGACCUUUCCGUCCUCAUAUUCCCCGGAUUCGUUUUCUGCGAUCGAGCGCCCGAGCGGUUGCAUCUCGACGGCAGUUCCCUUUACAACCGAGUUAGCUUUAUACUAUGAGCAGUGAGCAAGUCAUGUAUAAAGCAAAAACAAAGUAUUAGUCUGCUAUCAAAUGGUACAUUUAUUUGAACUCUAAGGGCAGGUUCAGGGUCUCAUGAAGAGGGCAUGUGUUUGUAUUAGAUCAGAAGGUUUUGCAGUUGACAAGCUUACAGGUUUGAGCACCCCGAACAACGGGGUGGGCCCUUUGACCUGUGGGUUUUGCUGGUACCAAGAGAAGGAGGUUCCUUUUAACCUGCAGGAGCUCUGCCAAUGGCAGCGUGCUUUCCUUGACAAUGACGUGGUACUGCACGUACGCAAGAUGCAGCGAGUGAAAUCGGCGCAAGAGGGCAUCUUGCAAGCAGCACCAAAUCCUAUAUUAUGGGACCGAGUCAAAUGUGGCUCGGUGAUAGAAUUAAGCAUGAAGGAGGAAGAUACCAGCACCAGCCCCAGCAAUAAAGACUGCGGCAACGGCGACGGCAGUGUGUCCCGGCGAGCGUGAGCAAUGGCAGCAUCAUCUCUGACUCCGAGUACCUGACCAAGACGCUGCCCAGGUCACAUGUCAAGGACUUCCUCUUGGACGAUGCCGCCUCCUUGGCUGUUGUUGUCGUCUCCUCAAAUAAGUCGUAUCAGCAGAUGGAUUUUGGAUGCAGACCAAUGUGGUUUCUUCAUAGUACUAGGGAGCCGACAAUAAAAACAUGAGAAUUCAUCACCUAUCUUAGCCACCGCAACCUGAACAAGAUUUGCCAACAUCUAGCUUAAUCCUUCUGAAUGGUUGGUAGCAGAUCUGUCCUACAAGCAGAAAUCAUCUACUUUGUGUUUGAAUUUUCUAAAUUACAGUAAAACAUGUGCAUACUUCAGUUUGCACAAAGAGCAAACCUAGACAAUCUGCUGUAGGGUCUGAGCUAUUGAAUAUACAUGUAGUAAAAAAUACUUUUCCUUUGGUCCUCUUUCAUGUUCAAGUUCCUAACGAAGCUGCCAUAUAGCGCAUUUAGGCUCUGGUCAACAAGUCGGCAGACAAGUUGCAAAUUCAAUCAACAAUGAACAUAGAAAACUGAACCCACUGUUCAUGAUCUUUAAGGAAGAAAACACACAAGAUUCGUUAUUCAAUCUUAUCAAUGACCAUGUGUAAUCUUAGGCUAUUUUGUUAUCAAUAGCUAAAAGUUGUUCACAAGCCUUGGUGUGUUUUGAUGUUUCUUGAAUGUGGAGCUGCAGGUAGAGCUGAGGAUUAAGGAUUAAGUAUAAACGUAAUGGAGCCCGUUGUAUAACAACACAGAGCCGAAGGAGAUGCUAUUUUAUUGUUGCCUUAUCUUUGUCGAUGCAGUCGAAUAUGGGUCUAUUCUGGUGCCCUGUCUUCAUCGUAGCGUGUGUAUGUAACAUGGGGGCGGCCGUGAGUAUAGAUCGUCUAGACUACUUUUUCUGGGCUACUAAAAUAUACGAAGAGACAUCAAGGUCAGAAAUCAAUUAGGGAGGCACUAACAUUAUGCCUUGAUUCAGAUGUUGUAAAAAAAUGCCUUGAUUCAGAUGGUUCCGUCGAUUUUUUGCAUUUAUUAUGGAUAAUUUGUAUUAGUUUCCUUUUGGAGUAAAAAAUGGGUUGAAAUUGAUAUAAUACAAUUUUGGUUAAACUUCA